AUUGAACGCUGGCGGCAGGCUUAACACAUGCAAGUCGAGCGGAGAUGAGGUGCUUGCACCUUAUCUUAGCGGCGGACGGGUGAGUAAUGCCUAGGAAUCUGCCUAUUAGUGGGGGACAACAUUCCGAAAGGAAUGCUAAUACCGCAUACGCCCUACGGGGGAAAGCAGGGGAUCUUCGGACCUUGCGCUAAUAGAUGAGCCUAAGUCGGAUUAGCUAGUUGGUGGGGUAAAGGCCUACCAAGGCGACGAUCUGUAGCGGGUCUGAGAGGAUGAUCCGCCACACUGGGACUGAGACACGGCCCAGACUCCUACGGGAGGCAGCAGUGGGGAAUAUUGGACAAUGGGCGGAAGCCUGAUCCAGCCAUGCCGCGUGUGUGAAGAAGGCCUUUUGGUUGUAAAGCACUUUAAGCGAGGAGGAGGCUACCUGGAUUAAUACUCUAGGAUAGUGGACGUUACUCGCAGAAUAAGCACCGGCUAACUCUGUGCCAGCCGCCGCGGUAAUAC
rnacentral:rRNA from 1 species